rnacentral:rRNA from 1 species
ACGGGUGAGUAACACGUGGGUAACCUGCCCAUCAGAAGGGGAUAACACUUGGAAACAGGUGCUAAUACCGUAUAACACUAUUUUCCGCAUGGAAGAAAGUUGAAAGGCGCUUUUGCGUCACUGAUGGAUGGACCCGCGGUGCAUUAGCUAGUUGGUGAGGUAACGGCUCACCAAGGCCACGAUGCAUAGCCGACCUGAGAGGGUGAUCGGCCACACUGGGACUGAGACACGGCCCAGACUCCUACGGGAGGCAGCAGUAGGGAAUCUUCGGCAAUGGACGAAAGUCUGACCGAGCAACGCCGCGUGAGUGAAGAAGGUUUUCGGAUCGUAAAACUCUGUUGUUAGAGAAGAACAAGGAUGAGAGUAAAAUGUUCAUCCCUUGACGGUAUCUAACCAGAAAGCCACGGCUAACUACGUGCCAGCAGCCGCGGUAAUACGUAGGUGGCAAGCGUUGUCCGGAUUUAUUGGGCGUAAAGCGAGCGCAGGCGGUUUCUUAAGUCUGAUGUGAAAGCCCCCGGCUCAACCGGGGAGGGUCAUUGGAAACUGGGAGACUUGAGUGCAGAAGAGGAGAGUGGAAUUCCAUGUGUAGCGGUGAAAUGCGUAGAUAUAUGGAGGAACACCAGUGGCGAAGGCGGCUCUCUGGUCUGUAACUGACGCUGAGGCUCGAAAGCGUGGGGAGCGAACAGGAUUAGAUACCCUGGUAGUCCACGCCGUAAA